AUGAACGCUGGCGGCGUGCCUAAUACAUGCAAGUCGAGCGAACAGAUGAGGAGCUUGCUCCUCUGACGUUAGCGGCGGACGGGUGAGUAACACGUGGAUAACCUACCUAUAAGACUGGGAUAACUUCGGGAAACCGGAGCUAAUACCGGAUAAUAUAUUGAACCGCAUGGUUCAAUAGUGAAAGACGGUUUUGCUGUCACUUAUAGAUGGAUCCGCGCCGCAUUAGCUAGUUGGUAAGGUAACGGCUUACCAAGGCAACGAUGCGUAGCCGACCUGAGAGGGUGAUCGGCCACACUGGAUCUGAGACACGGUCCAGACUCCUACGGGAGGCAGCAGUAGGGAAUCUUCCGCAAUGGGCGAAAGCCUGACGGAGCAACGCCGCGUGAGUGAUGAAGGUCUUCGGAUCGUAAAACUCUGUUAUUAGGGAAGAACAAAUGUGUAAGUAACUAUGCACGUCUUGACGGUACCUAAUCAGAAAGCCACGGCUAACUACGUG
rnacentral:rRNA from 1 species